rnacentral:rRNA from 1 species
GUAAGGAAUAUUGGUCAAUGGAGGCAACUCUGAACCAGCCAUGCCGCGUGCAGGAAGACGGCCCUCUGGGUUGUAAACUGCUUUUAUCCGGGAAUAAACCUGCCUUCGUGAAGGUAGCUGAAUGUACCGGAAGAAUAAGGAUCGGCUAACUCCGUGCCAGCAGCCGCGGUAAUACGGAGGAUCCAAGCGUUAUCCGGAUUUAUUGGGUUUAAAGGGUGCGUAGGCGGCCUGUUAAGUCAGGGGUGAAAGACGGUGGCUCAACCAUCGCAGUGACCUUGAUACUGAUGGGCUUGAAUGGACUAGAGGUAGGCGGAAUGUGACAAGUAGCGGUGAAAUGCAUAGAUAUGUCACAGAACACCGAUUGCGAAGGCAGCUUACUAUGGUCCUAUUGACGCUGAGGCACGAAAGCGUGGGGAUCGAACAGGAUUAGAAACCCCAGUAGUCC